GUUGGUGAACCAGCGGAGGGAUCAUUACCGAGUUUACAACUCCCAAACCCCUGUGAACAUACCUAUACGUUGCCUCGGCGGAUCAGCCCGCGCCCCGUAAAACGGGACGGCCCGCCCGAGGACCCUAAACUCUGUUUUUAGUGGAACUUCUGAGUAAAACAAACAAAUAAAUCAAAACUUUCAACAACGGAUCUCUUGGUUCUGGCAUCGAUGAAGAACGCAGCAAAAUGCGAUAAGUAAUGUGAAUUGCAGAAUUCAGUGAAUCAUCGAAUCUUUGAACGCACAUUGCGCCCGCCAGUAUUCUGGCGGGCAUGCCUGUUCGAGCGUCAUUUCAACCCUCAAGCUCAGCUUGGUGUUGGGACUCGCGGUAACCCGCGUUCCCCAAAUCGAUUGGCGGUCACGUCGAGCUUCCAUAGCGUAGUAAUAAUACACCUCGUUACUGGUAAUCGUCGCGGCCACGCCGUAAAACCCCAACUUCUGAAUGUGACCUCGGAUCAGUAGA
rnacentral:rRNA from 1 species